rnacentral:rRNA from 1 species
UGUUGCAGUUAAAAAGCUCGUAGUUGGAUCUCGGGAGCAGGCUGGCGGUCCGCCUCGCGGCGGCUACUGCCUGUCCUGCCCUACCUGCCGGUUUUCCCCUGGUGCUCUUCACUGAGUGCCUCGGGUGGCCGGAACGUUUACUUUGAAAAAAUUAGAGUGUUCAAAGCAGGCAGCUCGCCUGAAUAAUGGUGCAUGGAAUAAUGGAAUAGGACCUCGGUUCUAUUUUGUUGGUUUUCGGAACUUGAGGUAAUGAUUAAGAGGGACAGACGGGGGCAUUCGUAUUGCGGUGUUAGAGGUGAAAUUCUUGGAUCGCCGCAAGACGAACUACUGCGAAAGCAUUUGCCAAGAAUGUUUUCAUUAAUCAAGAACGAAAGUCAGAGGUUCGAAGACGAUCAGAUACCGUCGUAGUUCUGACCAUAAACGAUGCCAGCUAGGGAUUCGCCGGAGUUGUUUCCAUGACUCGGCGAGCACCUUCCGGGAAACCAAAGCUUUUGGGUUCCGGGGGAAGUAUGGUUGCAAAGCUGAAACUUAAAGGAAUUGACGGAAGGGCACCACCAGGAGUGGAGCCUGCGGCUUAAUUUGACUCAACACGGGGAAACUCACCCGGCCCGGACACUGUAAGGAUUGACGGAUUGAGAGCUCUUUCUUGAUUCGGUGGGUGGUGGUGCAUGGCCGUUCUUAGUUGGUGGAGCGAUUUGUCUGGUUAAUUCCGAUAACGAACGAGACUCUAGCCUAUUAAAUAGUUCGCCGAUUCCGUCUCGUCGGCGUCAACUUCUUAGAGGGACAAGUGGCGUUUAGCCACGCGAGAUUGAGCAAUACAGGUCUGUGAUGCCCUUAGAUGUUCGGGGCCGCACGCGCGCUACACUGAAGGAAUCAGCGUGUGUUUCUCCUGGCCAAAUGGUCGGGUAACCCGUUGAACCUCCUUCGUGCU